AUUGAACGCUGGCGGCAUGCUUUACACAUGCAAGUCGAACGGCAGCGCGGGCUUCGGCCUGGCGGCGAGUGGCGAACGGGUGAGUAAUACAUCGGAACGUGCCCAGUAGUGGGGGAUAGCUCGGCGAAAGCCGGAUUAAUACCGCAUACGACCUGAGGGUGAAAGCGGGGGAUCUUCGGACCUCGCGCUAUUGGAGCGGCCGAUGGCAGAUUAGCUAGUUGGUGGGGUAAAGGCCUACCAAGGCGACGAUCUGUAGCUGGUCUGAGAGGGCGACCAGCCACACUGGGACUGAGACACGGCCCAGACUCCUACGGGAGGCAGCAGUGGGGAAUUUUGGACAGUGGGCGAAAGCCUGAUCCAGCAAUGCCGCGUGUGUGAUGAAGGCCUUCGGGUUGUAAAGCACUUUUGGCGGGAACGAAAAGGACUGUGCCAAUACCACGGUUCGAUGACGGUACCCGCAGAAUAAGCACCGGCUAACUACGU
rnacentral:rRNA from 1 species